rnacentral:rRNA from 1 species
CGUACACUCCUACGGGAGGCAGCAGUGGGGAAUAUUGGACAAUGGGCGCAAGCCUGAUCCAGCCAUGCCGCGUGAGUGAUGAAGGCCCUAGGGUUGUAAAGCUCUUUCACCGGUGAAGAUAAUGACGGUAACCGGAGAAGAAGCCCCGGCUAACUUCGUGCCAGCAGCCGCGGUAAUACGAAGGGGGCUAGCGUUGUUCGGAUUUACUGGGCGUAAAGCGCACGUAGGCGGACUAUUAAGUCAGGGGUGAAAUCCCGGGGCUCAACCCCGGAACUGCCUUUGAUACUGGUAGUCUUGAGUUCGAGAGAGGUGAGUGGAAUUCCGAGUGUAGAGGUGAAAUUCGUAGAUAUUCGGAGGAACACCAGUGGCGAAGGCGGCUCACUGGCUCGAUACUGACGCUGAGGGGCGAAAGCGUGGGGAGCAAACAGGAUUAGAAACCCUAGUAGUCCCAUGA